AAAAACAUCUUUUCUUGUUAUUUAUUUGAGAUUUGACCUGCCCAAUGAUAUUUUAAUGGCCGCGGUAUUUUGACCGUGCAAAGGUAGCAUAAUUCAUUAGUCAUUUAAUUGUUGACUUGUAUGAAUGGUUGGACGAAGUAUUAACUGUCUUAUUUAUAUUUUUAGAAUUUAAAUUUUGAGUUAAAAUGCUUAAAUUUUUUUAUAGGACGAGAAGACCCUGUAGAUCUUUAUUUAUUAAAUUUAUAUUAUAUUUUGGCUUAUUUAUUUAAUAUAUUUUAUUAUUUUUUGUUGGGGUGACAAGGAGAUAAAAUUAACUCUUUAUUUUUAUAUUCAUUAAUUUAUGAUUUUUUGACCUUUUAUUAAUGUUAUAAGAUAUAGAUACCUCAGGGAUAACAGCGUAAUUCUUUUUGAGAGUUCAUAUCGACAAAGGAGAUUGCGACCUCGAUGUUGGAUUAAGAUUAUAGAUAGGUGUAGAAGCUUAUUAAUUAAGUCUGUUCGACUUUUAAAAUCUUACAUGAUC
rnacentral:rRNA from 1 species